GAUGAACGCUGGCGGCGUGCCUAAUACAUGCAAGUCGAGCGAACAGACGAGGAGCUUGCUCCUCUGACGUUAGCGGCGGACGGGUGAGUAACACGUGGAUAACCUACCUAUAAGACUGGGAUAACUUCGGGAAACCGGAGCUAAUACCGGAUAACAUUUUGAACCGCAUGGUUCAACAGUGAAAGACGGUCUUGCUGUCACUUAUAGAUGGAUCCGCGCCGCAUUAGCUAGUUGGUAAGGUAACGGCUUACCAAGGCAACGAUGCGUAGCCGACCUGAGAGGGUGAUCGGCCACACUGGAACUGAGACACGGUCCAGACUCCUACGGGAGGCAGCAGUAGGGAAUCUUACGCAAUGGGCGAAAGCCUGACGGAGCAACGCCGCGUGAGUGCAGAAGGUCUUCGGAUCGUAAAACUCUGUUAUUAGGGAAGAACAAAUGUGUAAGUAACUAUGCACGUCUUGACGGUACCUAAUCAGAAAGCCACGGCUAACUACGUG
rnacentral:rRNA from 1 species